rnacentral:lncRNA from 1 species
UUCAGAUGUGACUGAAGCCACUGUGUACGUGCAAAGUCUGUGACACUGCAAUUGCCCUUUCAAAAAGCAGAAGUGCUGAUACAUGGACCCCAUAACUCAGACUCUUCUCCAGUCUGCCAAACAACUGGAGUUGCUAAUGGCUCUAACUUUCUGGCCGGUGUGUGUGUGGCUGCUAUAGCUUACCCAAAGACUGUUCAAGAAACCUCGUCCUCCAGGAAUGCAUCCAUCUUUGUACUGGACUGUGUUUGCUGAAACUGGUGUCUGCAAUGAGAAAGGAAUUCUCCUGGCCUCUCUCGUCCUCCUUGGAACCCCAGUCUGUUGGGAAAGAGGAGAAAGGACUGGAGAUACUGACUGAGGCAUAGCUGGGGAUCAGAACCAGCCUCUGUGCCUGAGAAACCGCAGCCAUGAGAAACCACCACAGCCCUAUAUUUUGGAAGACCUAGGAGCUAGCCUGAGAUCAGCACCUCAUCUGUGCCUCAUUUUGGCUUAAGGGUCAUCAUUCCUCCUUAUGGCAUGUGGUCUGAAUGGAACUGAAUCCUCUUGGUUUCAAGAUUGGCCUGUGACCCAAGUCUGCCAUUGCCCAUUCACCGGGAGCUAUUCCCGCCACUGGGAAUUUCCGAGAAGAAAAGGACUAAGUCAGAAUGAUGUUAUUUUUACUCAAG